CUUGACCCUGGCGAACAGUAUAAAACCUUCACAGCAUAAAACCUUCACAGCGUUUAGAGUGGACAGCCCCCUGAAGGCGAUGUAGAGGUCCUCAGGGCUACAGAGCUUCAUUUCAACAUGGCGGCGAACAGCAAUAGCGGCACGGGGAGUAAAAGCAGUGGAGGGAAGCAGUCUGGCCCUUCUGCCGAGCAGAUCCCUAAUGACCAAGCCAGAGGAGACAGUGGCAAAGAAAAAACUCCCUGAGACCUCAUGAGGAAGAAACGUUGAAAGGAACCGCACUGAAAAAGAUCCUCUCGUCUGGGUGUCUCUGGAUUGUAGGAUUAUAAAUCAUCACUCACUCUCCGACAGUUGUGUGUUAUAACAUCAGGGAGCAGAGAGUAUGUUGAAAGGUUGUAUGAGCAUCAUAGUCUGUAUAAUUACAGCAGCAGUUCUUACACGUAC
ensembl:lncRNA